AAAUUGAAGAGUUUGAUCAUGGCUCAGAUUGAACGCUGGCGGCAGGCCUAACACAUGCAAGUCGAACGGUAACAGGAAGCAGCUUGCUGCUUUGCUGACGAGUGGCGGACGGGUGAGUAAUGUCUGGGAAGCUGCCUGAUGGAGGGGGAUAACUACUGGAAACGGUGGCUAAUACCGCAUAACGUCGCAAGACCAAAGAGGGGGACCUUCGGGCCUCUUGCCAUCAGAUGUGCCCAGAUGGGAUUAGCUUGUUGGUGAGGUAACGGCUCACCAAGGCGACGAUCCCUAGCUGGUCUGAGAGGAUGACCAGCCACACUGGAACUGAGACACGGUCCAGACUCCUACGGGAGGCAGCAGUGGGGAAUAUUGCACAAUGGGCGCAAGCCUGAUGCAGCCAUGCCGCGUGUAUGAAGAAGGCCUUCGGGUUGUAAAGUACUUUCAGCGGGGAGGAAGGUGUUGUGGUUAAUAACCGCAGCAAUUGACGUUACCCGCAGAAGAAGCACCGGCUAACUCCGUGCCAGCAGCCGCGGUAAUACGGAGGGUGCAAGCGUUAAUCGGAAUUACUGGGCGUAAAGCGCACGCAGGCGGUCUGUCAAGUCGGAUGUGAAAUCCCCGGGCUCAACCUGGGAACUGCAUUCGAAACUGGCAGGCUUGAGUCUUGUAGAGGGGGGUAGAAUUCCAGGUGUAGCGGUGAAAUGCGUAGAGAUCUGGAGGAAUACCGGUGGCGAAGGCGGCCCCCUGGACAAAGACUGACGCUCAGGUGCGAAAGCGUGGGGAGCAAACAGGAUUAGAUACCCUGGUAGUCCACGCCGUAAACGAUGUCUACUUGGAGGUUGUGCCCUUGAGGCGUGGCUUCCGGAGCUAACGCGUUAAGUAGACCGCCUGGGGAGUACGGCCGCAAGGUUAAAACUCAAAUGAAUUGACGGGGGCCCGCACAAGCGGUGGAGCAUGUGGUUUAAUUCGAUGCAACGCGAAGAACCUUACCUGGUCUUGACAUCCACGGAAGAAUCCAGAGAUGGAUUUGUGC
rnacentral:rRNA from 1 species